GAAACUCAAAGGAAUUGACGGGGACCCGCACAAGUAGCGGAGCAUGUGGUUUAAUUCGAAGCAACGCGAAGACCCUUACCUAAGCUUGACAUCCCAAUGACAUCUCCUUAAUCGGAGAGUUCCCUUCAGGGACAUUGGUGACAGGUGGUGCAUGGUUGUCGUCAGCUCGUGUCGUGAGAUGUUGGGUUAAGUCCCGCAAC
rnacentral:rRNA from 1 species